rnacentral:rRNA from 1 species
UGGGUGAUAUUGCACAAUGGGCGAAAGCCUGAUGCAGCGACGCCGCGUGGGGGAUGAAGGCCUUCGGGUUGUAAACUUCUUUUGCUCUGAACAAGGCAUGCUAAUGGGUGUGUUGAGUGUAGGGGUUGAUUAGCGCCGGCUAACUACGUGCCAGCAGCCGCGGUAAUACGUAGGGCGCGAGCGUUGUCCGGAAUUAUUGGGCGUAAAGGGCUUGUAGGUGGCUGGUUGCGUCUGUCGUGAAAGCUCAUGGCUUAACUGUGGGUUUGCGGUGGGUACGGGCUGGCUUGAGUGCAGUAGGGGAGGCUGGAAUUCCUGGUGUAGCGGUGGAAUGCGCAGAUAUCAGGAGGAGUACCGGUGGCGAAGGCGGGUCUCUGGGCUGUUACUGACACUGAGGAGCGAAAGCAUGGGGAGCGAACAGG